rnacentral:rRNA from 1 species
AAUCCAUAGGUUAAUGAGGCGAACCGGGGGAACUGAAACAUCUAAGUACCCCGAGGAAAAGAAAUCAACCGAGAUUCCCCCAGUAGCGGCGAGCGAACGGGGAGGAGCCCAGAGCCUGAAUCAGCAUGUGUGUUAGUGGAAGCGUCUGGAAAGGCGCGCGAUACAGGGUGACAGCCCCGUACACAAAAGCGCAUGUGCUGUGAGCUCGAUGAGUAGGGCGGGACACGUGGUAUCCUGUCUGAAUAUGGGGGGACCAUCCUCCAAGGCUAAAUACUCCUGACUGACCGAUAGUGAACCAGUACCGUGAGGGAAAGGCGAAAAGAACCCCGGCGAGGGGAGUGAAAAAGAACCUGAAACCGUGUACGUACAAGCAGUGGGAGCCCCACCACCAAAGCAUUCUCUGGUGUUGAAGGCCCUGCAAAGCAGCAUCGCGGUGGCGGAGCGUCGUUUGCGACGCCCAACACACAAAACAAGCGGUGAAUGCUUUGGGGUGGGGUGACUGCGUACCUUUUGUAUAAUGGGUCAGCGACUUAUAUUCUGUAGCAAGGUUAACCGUAUAGGGGAGCCGUAGGGAAACCGAGUCUUAAC